ensembl:snRNA U1 U1 spliceosomal RNA
AUACUUACCUGGCAGGGGAGACACCAUGAUCAAGAAGGUAGUUUUCCCAGGCGAGGCUUAUCUAUUGUACUCCAGAUGUGCUGACCCUUGUGAUUUCCCCAAAUGCAGGAAAUUCAACUGCAUAAUUUGUGGUAUUGAGGGACUGUUUUUAUGCUCUGUUCCUGC